rnacentral:rRNA from 1 species
UAGCUAGUUGGUAGGGUAAGAGCCUACCAAGGCGACGAUCGGUAGCUGGUCUGAGAGGAUGGCCAGCCACACUGGAACUGAGACACGGUCCAGACUCCUACGGGAGGCAGCGGUGGGGAAUAUUGGACAAUGGGGGCAACCCUGAUCCAGCAAUGCCGCGUGUGUGAAGAAGGCCUGAGGGUUGUAAAGCACUUUCAGUGGGGAGGAGGGUAUUUAGGUUAAGAGCUAGGAUACUGGACGUUACCCACAGAAGAAGCACCGGCUAACUCCGUGCCAGCAGCCGCGGUAAUACGGAGGGUGCGAGCGUUAAUCGGAAUAACUGGGCGUAAAGGGUGCGUAGGUGGUUAGAUAAGUUAUCUGUGAAAUCCCCGGGCUCAACCUGGGCAGGUCAGGUAAGACUGUUUGACUCGAGUAUAGGAGAGGGUAGUGGAAUUUCCGGUGUAGCGGUGAAAUGCGUAGAGAUCGGAAGGAACACCAGUGGCGAAGGCGGCUACCUGGCCUGAUACUGACACUGAGGCACGAAAGCGUGGGGAGCAAACAGGAUUAGAUACCCUGGUAGUCCACGCCGUAAACGAUGUCAACUAGCUGUUGGCCUUAUGAAUAAGGUUAGUGGCGC